GAUGAACGCUGGCGGCGUGCCUAAUACAUGCAAGUCGAGCGAACGGACGAGGAUCUUGCUUCUCUGAUGUUAGCGGCGGACGGGUGAGUAACACGAGGAUACCCUACCUAGAAGACUGGGAUAACUUCGGGGAACCUGAUCUAGUACCGGAUAAUAUUUUGAACCGCAUGGUUCUAAAGUCAAAGACGUUCUUGCUGUCACUUAUACAUGGAUCCUCGCUGCAUUAGCUAGUUGGUACGGUAACGGCUUACCAAGGCUACGAUGCAUAGCCGACCUGAGAGGAUGAUCGGCCACACUGGAACUGAGACACGGUCCAGACUCCUACGGGAGGCAGCAGUAGGGAAUAUUCCGCAAUGGGCGAAAGCCUGACGGAGCAACGCCGCGUGAGUGAUGAAGGUCUUCGGAUCGUAAAACUCUGUUAUUAGGGAAGAACAUAUGUGUAAGUAACUGUGCACAUCUUGACGGUACCUAAUCAGAAAGCCACGGCUAACUACGUG
rnacentral:rRNA from 1 species